GGUUUCGUCUCGGGUAGCCUCACGGUUUUCACCCGGUCCGGAAUCCUCCUCGUGGCAAACCAGGGUUCUCUUAACUGGGCGCUCUGGGGAACCACGACGUUUACUUUGAGAAAAUUAGAGUGUUCAAAGCAAGCGUUCGCUUGAAUACAUUAGCAUGGAAUAAUGAAAUAGGACGGACGGUUCUAUUUUGUUGGUUAUGGGACCACCGUA
rnacentral:rRNA from 1 species